rnacentral:rRNA from 1 species
GAUGAACGCUGGCGGCGUGCCUAAUACAUGCAAGUCGAACGAAGCCUUCGGGCUUAGUGGCGGACGGGUGAGUAACACGUUGGUACCUGCCUCGAAGUGGGGAAUAACUGGCCGAAAGGUCGGCUAAUACCGCAUGUGAUCGCAAGAUCAAAGUCGUAAGACGCUUCGAGAGGGGCCUGCGUCCCAUUAGCUAGUUGGUAGGGUAAUGGCCUACCAAGGCGACGAUGGGUAGCUGGAUCGAGAGGUUGACCAGCCACACUGGGACUGAGAGACGUCCCAGACUCCUACGGGAGGCAGCAGUAAGGAAUCUUCCACAAUGGACGAAAGUAUGAUGGAGCAACGCCGCGUGCAGGAUGACGGCCUUCGGGUUGUAAACUGCUUUUAUAUGGGAAGAUUAUGACGGUACCAUAUGAAUAAGGACCGGCUAACUACGUGCCAGCAGCCGCCGUAA